GGAGCAGGUGUGACAUUAAUCAGAGGAGCGCGGUCUGCAUCAAAGCGCGCUCGGGCUGCCGGAGCGAGCUGUGUGAGCGUUUGGUUCGCGUUACCCUAAUUUAUUGUAAGCUUGUGACUGCAGUUAACAAAUUAUGUAAGUGCCAGCAGUAAAAUCGCCAAGAUACACUGAGAAAAGCGUUCAGUGAAAUUUCAACUGCUCUGUGUAAUUUUCUUGGUGCUUUUCUGCAGAGUUGUUAGUAAUAGUUUUUCCUGAAACCCUCCGAGGAUGUACUCUUCACUACUCUUUUUAAAGCAUGUGAGGAAGAUAGCAAAGGCUAUUUAAGCAGAGAAGACGUUAAAGUCGCUCUAGUAAUGUUUUUUUGUUAGAAACCCUCAAAGAUAUUUAUUUCAGAAGAAAAUAAUCAAACCCCUACUUCUCCUGCUGCAGAGGG